rnacentral:rRNA from 1 species
UACGGGGGGAGCAAGCGUUGUUCGGAUUUACUGGGCGUAAAGGGCGCGUAGGCGGUCGUGACAAGUCACUUGUGAAAUCUCCGGGCUUAACUCGGAACGGUCAAGUGAUACUGUCGGACUAGAGUACAGAAGGGGCAACUGGAAUUCCUGGUGUAGCGGUGAAAUGCGCAGAUAUCAGGAGGAACACCGAUGGCGAAGGCAGGUCUCUGGGCAUUAACUGACGCUGAGGAGCGAAAGCAUGGGGAGCGAACAGG